AAAUUUAUGAAGCUAUUUUAGAAAUUCGGAUGAGUGAUUCUGUUGAAAAUGAGUUCUCCGCGAUAUUUCAUUACAUUGUUUUGAAAAUUUUCCAAACAUAACGAAAUAUCGCGGGAGAACUCUUGACAACUUCCCGAGUUUCGUUACAUU
rnacentral:sRNA from 1 species